rnacentral:rRNA from 1 species
AUUGAACGCUGGCGGCAUGCCUUACACAUGCAAGUCGAACGGUAACAGGUCUUCGGAUGCUGACGAGUGGCGAACGGGUGAGUAAUACAUCGGAACGUGCCUCGUAGUGGGGGAUAACUACUCGAAAGAGUGGCUAAUACCGCAUGAGAUCUACGGAUGAAAGCAGGGGAUCGCAAGACCUUCUGCUAUUAGAGCGGACGAUGGCAGAUUAGGUAGUUGGUGGGAUAAAAGCUUACCAAGCCGACGAUCUGUAGCUGGUCUGAGAGGACGACCAGCCACACUGGGACUGAGAAACGGCCCAGACUCCUACGGGAGGUAGCAGUGGGGAAUUUUGGACAAUGAGCGCAAGCCUGAUCCAGCAAUGCCGCGUGCAGGAUGAAGGCCUUCGGGUUGUAAACUGCUUUUGUACGGAACGAAAAGCCCCGGGUUAAUACCCUGGGGUCAUGACGGUACCGUAAGAAUAAGCACCGGCUAACUACGUGCCAGCCGCCGCGGUAA